rnacentral:rRNA from 1 species
UACAGAGGGUGCAAGCGUUAUUCGGAAUUAUUGGGCGUAAAGAGCGUGUAGGUGGUUUGAUAAGUCUGGUGUGAAAGCCCUGAGCUCAACUCAGGAAGUGCAUUGGAUACUGUCGAACUAGAGUACAGGAGAGGAAAGCGGAAUUCCAGGUGUAGAGGUGAAAUUCGUAGAUAUCUGGAGGAACAACAGAGGCGAAGGCGGCUUUCUGGACUGUUACUGACACUAAGGCGCGAAAGCGUGGGGAGCAAACAGG